CAAGAGGACGCCUUCCCUUGUAAACUGAGCAACCCUCAGAUCAGACUUCUGGAAAUUGAAGAGCAAAAAAAAUAAGCAAGGGGGAAAUUCAACUAGAAGAUAAAUGGCAGUAGAAAAAUAUUGUACUCCCUCUGCCACCCUCGAUAAACACUUUAAAAAUACUGUCAGCAUCAAAAAAUCCAUCCAUCCAUGUCCAACAACUAGACCAAAAUAGCCCCAUCUUAAGCUCCUUAUCUGAUCGAACUAAAACUUAUUUUGCAUCUCCUGUCACAUGGUGAGGCCAAAAACAAUAUCCACAUCUAUGUAACAAACAAAAAACUGAUCAAAUAGAACAAAAGGGAACCAAUCACCAAACCAGAACCGCUUUUCCUUCAAAAAUGGUGAAGAACCACACAAAGAUCCAUCUGAAAUGGAAGUGCAUAAACAAUAAGCAAGGGGAAAGCCCAGGAAGAAGACAAUGACAGUAGAAAAAUAUUAUACUCCCUCUACAAUGCUUCACGUCCAACAACCAGACCAAGAUAGCCCCACCUUAAGCUCCGACUUUGGUAGAAUCAAAACUUAUUUUGUAUCUCCUGUCAAAGGGUGGGACCAAAAACAAUAUACACAUGUACGUAACAAACAAAAAAUAGAUUAAACAGAGCAAAAGGGAACCAAGCACCAAACCAGAACCGCCUUCCCACGAGAACUGGUUAAUUAGAACCCAAAGAUCAAACAUUUGAAGAUUAAAGAGCAUAACAAUAAGCAAAGGGAAAAAGUUCACCUAGAAGAUAAAUCACAAUAGAAAAAUAAUAUACUCCUGUUGACACCCACCAUAAACACUAUACCAAUGGCAGCAUCCAAGAUUGGUCCAUAUCCAAAUAACCAGACCAAGAUAGCCUCACCUUAAAUACCUAACUUUGAUGGAAUCAAAACCAAUUUUGUAUCUCCUGACACAGGGUGAGGCAGAAAACAAGGUCCAAGUCUACGUAACAAAAUAAAACUAUAAUAGAGAGCAAAGAUAACCAAGGAUCAAACCAGAACAGUCUUCCACAGAAGCCUGAUUAAGAAACACACAACGAUCCGGCAUCUGGAAAUUGAAAAGAAUAACGAUAAGCAAGGGAAAGUUUAGGUAGAAUAUAAAAUUUAGUAAAAAAGUUACAAUACUAUACUCCCUAUGCAACCCUUGAUAAACACUAUAUCAAUGACAGCGUCAAAGGUUGCUCCGUGUCCAACAAUCAGACCAAGAUUGCACCACCAUAAGCUCCUACUUUGAUAGAAUCAAAACUUAAUUUAUAUUUUGUGUCAUAGGGUGAUGCAGAAAACAAUAUCCACGCCAACGUAACAAACAAAAAACUGAUGAAAGAGAAAAAAGAUAACAAAGCAUCAAACCGAACAGCCUUCCAAUUAAGAACCACAACGAUCAGAAAUCUGAAAAUUGAAGAGUAUAACGACAAGCACCGGAAACUCUAGGUAGAAGAGAAAAUAUAGUAGAAGAAAAUGUAGUAUAACAAUCUGCAUCCCUCAAUAAACAUUAUAUCAAUUGACAUCUUAUAUUAGUCCGCAUCCAACAACCCCACCAAGUUGGCCCCCACCUUAAGCUCCCACUUUGAUAGAAUAAAACUGAAUUUGUAUCUCCUGUCACAGGGUGAGGGCGAAAAAAAUAUCAAAGUCUACGUAACAAAAAAAAAAAAACUAUAAUAGAGAACACAGACAACCAAGCGUCAAACAAGAACUGCCUUUCAGAGAAGCUUGAUUAAGAACAAAACAGCAACCAAAGAUUUGUCCAUGUCCAAAAACCAGACCAAGAUAGCCCCCACCUUAAGCUCCUACUUUGAUAGAAUCAAAACCUAUUUUGUAUCUCCUGUCACAGGGUGAGGCUGAAAACAACAUCCAAGUCUACAUAACAGCAAAAGAACUAUAAUUGAGAGAGCAAAGAUAACCAAUUAUCAAACCCGAACUGCCUUCCAGUUAAACUUGAUUAAGAACCACAUAAUGAACAGGCAUCUGGAAAUGGAAGAGAGACUAACAAUAACCACAGGAAAGUCUAGAUGGAAGAUAAAUUGUAGUAGAAAAAAAUACUAUAUUAUACUCCCUCUGCCAUCCUCGAUAAACACUAUAAUUGACAGCGUCAAAGGUUGAUCUGUGGCCAAUAUAACUAAACCAAGAUUAGCCCCACCUUGAGCUCCUACUUUGAUAAAAUCAAAACAAAAUUUUUAUCAUCUGCCAUAGGAUGAGGCAGAAAUACAAUAUACACGUAUACGUAACAAACAAAAAAACUGAUGAUAGAGAGAAAAGAUAAACCCAGCAUCAAACCAGAAGUGCCUUCAAGUAAAGAACACCUGGAAAUUGAAGAGUAUAACGAUAAGUAUAGGAAACUCAAGGUAAAAGAGAAAACGUAAAAAAAAAAAAAAUAACUAUACUGUACACCAUCUGCCACCCUCGACAAACACUAUAUCAAUGAUGGCAUCAUAGAUUAGUCCAUAUCCAAAAACCAGACCAAGAUAACCCCCACCUUAAGCUUCAACUUUGAUAGAAUCAAAACCUAUUUUGUCUCCUGGCACAGGGUGAGGACCAAAACAUUGUCCAAGUCUACAUAACAAAUAAACAAUAAUUACAGAGCAAAGGUGACCAAUUAGCAAACCAGAACAGCCUUCCCGUGAAGCUUGAUUAAAAACCACACAGCGAUCAGGCAUCUGGAAAUUGAUGAGAACAACGGUAAGCAUGGGAAAGUCUAGGUAGAAGAUAAAAGAUAGUAAAAAAAAAAAAAACUAUUCUAUACUCUCUUUGCCAGGCCCACACCACUAUAUCAAUGACAGCAUCAAAGGUAGAUCCGUGUUCAAUAACCAGGCCAACAUUAGCCACACCAUAAGCUCCUUCUUUCAAAACUUAAUUUUUAUCUCCUAUCAUAGGGUGAGGCAGAGAACAAUAUCCACGUCUACAUAACAACAAAAAAUUGUUGAAACUGACAAAAGAUAACCAAGAAAACAAGAAGUGCCAUCCAUUAUGGAAAUUGAAGAGUAUAACUAUAAACACGGGAAACUCUAGGUAGAAGAGAAAAUGUAGUAGAAAAAAAAAAUACUAUUAUGUAUUUCCUUUGCGACCCUCGAUUUACAAUAUACCAAUGAUAACAUCAAAGAUCUGUCCGCGUCCAAAAACCAGACCAAGAUAGCCCCCACAUUAAGCUCCUACAGUGAUGGAAUCAAAACCUAUUUUGUAUCUCCUGUCACAGGGUAGGCCCAAAACAAUAUCCAAGUCUAUAUAACAACAAAAGAAAUAUAAUAGAGAGAUCAAAUGCAACCAAUUAUGAACCCAGAACUGCCUUCCAGUUAAGCUUGAUUAAGAACCACACAACGAUCAGGCAUCUGGAAAUUGAAGAGAAUAACAAUAAGCACGGGAAAGUCAAGAUGGAAGAUAAAUUGUAGCAGAAUUAAUACAAUACUAUACUCCCUCUGACACCCUCGAUAAACAUUAUAUCAGUGACAGCAUCAAAAGUUGAUAUGUCUCCAAUAACUAGACCAAGAUUAGCCCCACCAUAAGCUGCUUCUUUCACAACUUAAUUUUUAACCCCUGUCACAAGGUGAGGCAGAAAACAAUAUCCACGUCUACGUAACAAAUAAAAGAUUGUUGAAACUGACAAAAGAUAACCAAGCAUACCAGAAGUGCCUUCCAGUUAAGAACCACACAACAAUCAGACAUCUGGAAAUUGAAGAGUAUAACUAUUAGCACGGGAAACUCUAGGUAGAAGAGAAAAUGUAGUAGAAAAAAAAUACUAUUAUGUACUCCAUGUACUCCCUUUACCACCCACAUUAAACUAUAUCAAUGACAGCAUGAAGGAUUUGUCAGUGUACCAAAAACCAGACCAAGACACGCCCCCACCUUAAGCUCCUACUUUGAUAGAAUCAGAACCUAUUUUGUAUCUCCUAUCACAGGGUGAGGCUGAAACCAACAUCGAGUCUAAAUAACAACAAAAGAACUACAAUAGAGAGAGCAAAGGUAACCAACUAUCAAACCCGAACUGCCGUCCAGUAAGCUUGAUUAAGAACCACACAACGAUCGGGCAUCUGGAAAUGGAAGAGAAUAACGAUAAGCACCGGAAGGUCUAGAUGGAAGAUAAAUUGUAUUAGAAGAAAUACUAUACUAACUCCCUCUGCCACCCUCGAAAAACAUAUCAUGACCAUCAAAGGAUUGAUUGUGUGCAAUAACUGACUAAGAUUAGCCCUACCUUAAGCCCUACUUUGAUAAAAUUAAAACUUAAUUUUUAUCUCAUGUCAUAGGGUGGGGCAGAAAACAAUAUCACGUCUAUGUACAAACAAAAAUUGUUGAAAUGACAAAAGAUAACCAAACAUCAAACCAGAAGUGUCAUCCAGUUAAGAACCACCCCACGAUCAGACAUCUGGAAAUUGAAGAGUAUAUCUAUAAGCACGGGAAACUCUAGGUAGAAGAGAAAAUGUAUAGAAAUAAAAAUACUAUUAUGUACUCCCUUUGCCACCCUCGAUUAACACAAUAUCAAUGACUCAUCAAAGAUCUGUCCGCGUCCAAAAACCAGACCAAGAUAGCCCCCACAUUAAGCUCCUACAGUGAUGGAAUCAAAACCUAUUUUGUAUCUCCUGUCACAGGGUAGGCCCAAAACAAUAUCCAAGUCUAUAUAACAACAAAAGAAUAUAAUAGAGAGAUCAAAUGCAACCAAUUAUGAACCCAGAACUGCCUUCCAGUUAAGCUUGAUUAAGAACCAAACAACGAUCAGGCAUCUGGAAAUCGAAGAGAAUAACAAUAAGCACGGGAAAGUCAAGAUGGAAGAUAAAUUGUAGCAGAAUUAAUACAAUACUAUACUCCCUCUGACACCCUCGAUAAACAUUAUAUCAGUGACAGCAUCAAAAGUUGAUGUCUCCAGUAACUAGACCAAGAUUAGCCCCACCAUAAGCUGCUUCUUUCACAACUUAAUUUUUAACUCCUGUCACAAGGUGAGGCAGAAAACAAUAUCCACGUCUACGUAACAAAUAAAAGAUUGUUGAAACUGACAAAAGAUAACCAAGCAUACCAGAAGUGCCUUCCAGUUAAGAACCACACAACAAUCAGACAUCUGGAAAUUGAAGAGUAUAACUAUUAGCACGGGAAACUCUAGGUAGAAGAGAAAAUGUAGGUAGAAAAAAAAUACUAUUAGUACUCCCUUUACCACCCACUAUUAACACUAUAUCAAUGACAGCAUGAAGGAUUUGUCAGUGUCCAAAAACCAGACCAAGACAGCCCCCACCUUAAGCUCCUACUUGAUAGAAUCAGAACCUAUUUUGUAUCUCCUAUCACAGGGUGAGGCUGAAACCAACAUCCGAGUCUAAAUAACAACAAAAGAACUACAAUAGAGAGAGCAAAGGUAACCAACUAUCAAACCCGAACUGCCGUCCAGUUAAGCUUGAUUAAGAACCACACAACGAUCGGGCAUCUGGAAAUGAAGAGAAUAACGAUAAGCACCGGAAGGUCUAGAUGGAAGAUAAAUUGUAUAGAAGAAAUACUAUACUAUACUCCCUCUGCCACCCUCGAUAAACACACUAUAUAGUGACCACGUCAAAGGAUUGACUUGUGUGCAAUAACUUGACUAAGAUUAGCCCUACCUUAAGCUCCUACUUGAUAAAAUUAAAACUUAAUUUUUAUCUCAUGUCAUAGGGUGGGGCAGAAAACAAUAUCCACGUCUAUGUAGCAAACAAAAUUGUUGAACUGACAAAAGAUAACCAAACAUCAAACAGAAGUGUCUCCAGUUAAGAACCACCCCACGAUCAGACAUCUGGAAAUUGAAGAGUAUAUCUAUAAGCACGGGAAACUCGAGGUAGAAGAGAAAAUGUAGUAGAAUAAAAAUACUAUUAUGUACUCCCUUUGCCACCCUCGAUUAACACAAUAUCAAUGACUACAUCAAAGAUCUGUCGCGUCCAAAAACCAGACCAAGAUAGCCCCCACAUUAAGCUCCUACAGUGAUGGAAUCAAAACCUAUUUUGUAUCUCCUGUCACAGGGUAGGCUCAAAACAAUAUCCAAGUCUAUAUAACAACAAAAGAAAUAUAAUAGAGAGAUCAAAUGCAACCAAUUAUGAACCCAGAACUGCCUUCCAGUUAAGCUUGAUUAAGAACCAAACAACGAUCAGGCAUCUGGAAAUCGAAGAGAAUAACAAUAAGCACGGGAAAGUCAAGAUGGAAGAUAAAUUGUAGCAGAAUUAAUACAAUACUAUACUCCCUCUGACACCCUCGAUAAACAUUAUAUCAGUGACAGCAUCAAAAGUUGAUAGUCUCCAUAACUAGACCAAGAUUAGCCCCACCAUAAGUGCUUCUUUCACAACUUAAUUUUUAACCCCUGUCACAAGGUGAGGCAGAAAACAAUAUCCACGUCUACGUAACAAAUAAAAGAUUGUUGAAACUGACAAAAGAUAACCAAGCAUACCAGAAGUGCCUUCCAGUUAAGAACCACACAACAUCAGACAUCUGGAAAUUGAAGAGUAUAUCUAUAGCACGGGAAAUUCUAGGUAGAAGAGAAAAUGUAGUAGAAAAAAAAUACUAUUAUGUACUCCCUUUCCACCCCGAUUAAACAUAUCAAUGACCAUAAGAUUGUCGGUCCAAAAACCAGACCAAGACAGCCCCCACCUUAAGCUCCUACUUUGAUAGAAUCAGAACCUAUUUUGUAUCUCCUAUCACAGGGUGAGGCUGAAACCAACAUCGAGUCUAAAUAACAACAAAAGAACUACAAUAGAGAAAGCAAAGGUAACCAACUAUCAAACCCGAACUGCCGUCCAGUUAAGCUUGAUUAAGAACCACACAACGAUCGGGCAUCUGGAAAUGGAAGAGAAUAACGAUAAGCACCGGAAGGUCUAGAUGGAAGAUAAAUUGUAUUAGAAGAAAUACUAUCUAUACUCCCUCUGCCACCCUCGAUAAACACACUAUAUCAGUGACCACGUCAAAGGAUUGACUUGUGUGCAAUAACUUGACUAAGAUUAGCCCUACUUAAGCUCCUACUUUGAUAAAAUUAAAACUUAAUUUUUAUCUCAUGUCAUAGGGUGGGGCAGAAAACAAUAUCCACGUCUAUGUACAAACAAAAUUGUUGAAAUGACAAAAGAUAACCAAACAUCAAACCAGAAG
rnacentral:lncRNA from 1 species